rnacentral:misc_RNA from 1 species
UUGGGGCUGGCAGCUGGAGAAUCUGACAGUGGCAUGUCAGUCCAUCGCUUCUCAAAAUUUGCAAUGCACUGCUUCCCAGCUACUUCUGGACGGAAACUGGGCUGGAUCUCCCUCGCCUCCAAUUUCUUCCAGUUGAUUGGCUUCAACCACUUGUGACGCUUAAUUUCUUCACUCCCUGUAGGUCCACUUCCUAGGCGCUUGCUGGCAUCUUUUUGUAGCAGCCCUUUCAACAAAGAAUGUGCUUCACUUGACAAAUAAGCUGGUAGCUUGAUCUUAUCCUUAACAAUCUUCUGUUGAAUUUUCUCCCUGUUCCCACCAAUAAAAGGAGGCUUUCCGGUUAGCAUCUCAUAUAAUAGAAUUCCUACACUCCACCAAUCUGCAGCCUUAUCGUGGCCCCUCCCAAGAACAAUUUCAGGUGCCAUAUAUUCAACUGUUCCACACAUUGAGUUUGAUCUUGUAUUUUCGCCAAAUUGCUUUGCCAGGCCAAAAUCAGUCAACAUUACAUGGCCAUCAGCAUCCAACAGGAUAUUUUCAGGUUUUAGAUCCCUAUGCAUU